rnacentral:rRNA from 1 species
GAACGCGAAGAACCUUACCAGGGCUUGACAUGUAUUGUAACCCCGGUGAAGGCCGGGCAGCGUGGAAACACGCGCUUUACACAGGUGCUGCAUGGCUGUCGUCAGCUCGUGUCGUGAGAUGUUGGGUUAAGUCCCGCAACGAGCGCAACCCUUAUGAUUUGUUGCCACUGGUUCAUUCCAAGCACUCAAAUCAGACUGCCCAGAUUAACUGGGAGGAAGGUGGGGAUGACGUCAAGUCCGUAUGGCCCUUACGUCCUGGGCUGCACACGUACUACAAUGUCCAGUACAAAUUGAACCGAGACCGCGAGGUGGAGGAAAUCAUUAAAGCUGGGCUCAGUUCAGAUUGCAGGCUGCAACUCGCCUGCAUGAAGUCGGAAUCGCUAGUAAUGGUACAUCAGCAACGGUACCGUGAAUACGUUCCCGGGUCUUGUACACACGC